rnacentral:rRNA from 1 species
CAAAGGAAGUCUUUUGCUCCUCUUUUGCUAGACGAGUGGCGGACGGGGUAGAGUAAUGUCUGGGAAACUGCCCGAUGGAGGGGGAUAACUACUGGAAACGGUAGCUAAUACCGCAUAACGUCGCAAGACCAAAGAGGGGGACCUUCGGGCCUCUCGCCAUCAGAUGUGCCCAGAUGGGAUUAGCUAGUAGGUGGGGUAAUGGCUCACCUAGGCGACGAUCCCUAGCUGGUCUGAGAGGAUGACCAGCCACACUGGAACUGAGACACGGUCCAGACUCCUACGGGAGGCAGCAGUGGGGAAUAUUGCACAAUGGGCGCAAGCCUGAUGCAGCCAUGCCGCGUGUAUGAAGAAGGCCUUCGGGUUGUAAAGUACUUUCAGCGGGGAGGAAGGCGGUGAGGUUAAUAACCUCGCCGAUUGACGUUACCCGCAAAAGAAGCACCGGCUAACUCCGUGCCAGCAGCCGCGGUAAUACGGAGGGUGCAAGCGUUAAUCGGAAUUACUGGGCGUAAAGCGCACGCAGGCGGUCUGUUAAGUCAGAUGUGAAAUCCCCGGGCUUAACCUGGGAACUGCAUUUGAAACUGGCAGGCUUGAGUCUCGUAGAGGGGGGUAGAAUUCCAGGUGUAGCGGUGAAAUGCGUAGAGAUCUGGAGGAAUACCGGUGGCGAAGGCGGCCCCCUGGACGAAGACUGACGCUCAUGUGCGAAAGCGUGGGGAGCACACAGGAUUAACCCUUUUUUUUUCAAAAAAA